rnacentral:rRNA from 1 species
AUUGAACGCUGGCGGCAGGCCUAACACAUGCAAGUCGAGCGGAUGAAGGGAGCUUGCUCCUGGAUUCAGCGGCGGACGGGUGAGUAAUGCCUAGGAAUCUGCCUGGUAGUGGGGGAUAACGUCCGGAAACGGGCGCUAAUACCGCAUACGUCCUGAGGGAGAAAGUGGGGGAGCUUCGGACCUCACGCUAUCAGAUGAGCCUAGGUCGGAUUAGCUAGUUGGUGGGGUAAAGGCCUACCAAGGCGACGAUCCGUAACUGGUCUGAGAGGAUGAUCAGUCACACUGGAACUGAGACACGGUCCAGACUCCUACGGGAGGCAGCAGCGGGGAAUAUUGGACAAUGGGCGAAAGCCUGAUCCAGCCAUGCCGCGUGUGUGAAGAAGGUCUUCGGAUUGUAAAGCACUUUAAGUUGGGAGGAAGGGCAGUAAGUUAAUACCUUGCUGUUUUGACGUUACCAGCAGAAUAAGCACCGGCUAACUUCGUG